UACGUAGGGUGCAAGCGUUAAUCGGAAUUACUGGGCGUAAAGCGUGCGCAGGCGGUUUUGUAAGUCUGACGUGAAAGCCCCGGGCUCAACCUGGGAAUUGCGAUGGAGACUGCAAGGCUUGAAUCUGCCAGAGGGGGGUAGAAUUCCACGUGUAGCAGUGAAAUGCGUAGAGAUGUGGAGGAACACCGAUGGCGAAGGCAGCCCCCUGGGUCAAGAUUGACGCUCAUGCACGAAAGCGUGGGGAGCAAACAGG
rnacentral:rRNA from 1 species